rnacentral:tmRNA from 1 species
GGGGGUGCCCCGGUUUCGACUGAUACGGUUCGGGGUACAGGCUGCAGGUGGAGUCAGACGUAAAGUCUGCAGGCGAAAGCCUGUGCCGAUCUCCUGAUUCGGCGACAAUUUAACUGCCAACAACGACAGUUACGAUUACGCCUUAGCUGCGUAACCGCGUGGAACCUUUCCGCCGCCUUGAGGAAGGGCUUCCGCGUCGCAAUCAAGGCUGGCCGAUCUCCGGUUCCGGACGGGGUAAGGUGAGAAAAUCCCGGACUACGGGCAGGCCGCGUGCCGUUUAGCCAAGCCGGCCCCGACAAUCCGAUAAACGGCUAAACCUGUAGAAGCCUGUAUUUCGCGUAUCAGGACGCGGGUUCGACUCCCGCCACCUCCAG